rnacentral:rRNA from 1 species
UGGCUCAGGAUGAACGCUAGCGACAGGCUUAACACAUGCAAGUCGAGGGGCAGCACAGGUAGCAAUACCGGGUGGCGACCGGCGCACGGGUGAGUAACGCGUAUGCAACUUGCCUAUCAGAGGGGGAUAACCCGGCGAAAGUCGGACUAAUACCGCAUGAAGCAGGGGCCCCGCAUGGGGAUAUUUGCUAAAGAUUCAUCGCUGAUAGAUAGGCAUGCGUUCCAUUAGGCAGUUGGCGGGGUAACGGCCCACCAAACCGACGAUGGAUAGGGGUUCUGAGAGGAAGGUCCCCCACAUUGGUACUGAGACACGGACCAAACUCCUACGGGAGGCAGCAGUGAGGAAUAUUGGUCAAUGGGCGUAAGCCUGAACCAGCCAAGUCGCGUGAGGGAUGAAGGUUCUAUGGAUCGUAAACCUCUUUUAUAAGGGAAUAAAGUGCGGGACGUGUCCCGUUUUGUAUGUACCUUAUGAAUAAGGAUCGGCUAACUCCGUGCCAGCAGCCGCGGUAAUACGGAGGAUCCGAGCGUUAUCCGGAUUUAUUGGGUUUAAAGGGUGCGUAGGCGGCCUUUUAAGUCAGCGGUGAAAGUCUGUGGCUCAACCAUAGAAUUGCCGUUGAAACUGGGGGGCUUGAGUAUGUUUGAGGCAGGCGGAAUGCGUGGUGUAGCGGUGAAAUGCAUAGAUAUCACGCAGAACCCCGAUUGCGAAGGCAGCCUGCCAAGCCAUUACUGACGCUGAUGCACGAAAGCGUGGGGAUCAAACAGGAUUAGAUACCCUGGUAGUCCACGCAGUAAACGAUGAUCACUAGCUGUUUGCGAUACACUGUAAGCGGCACAGCGAAAGCGUUAAGUGAUCCACAUGGGGAGUACGCCGGCAACGGUGAAACUCAAAGGAAUUGACGGGGGCCCGCACAAGCGGAGGAACAUGUGGUUUAAUUCGAUGAUACGCGAGGAACCUUACCCGGGUUUGAACGCAUUCGGACCGAGGUGGAAACACCUUUUCUAGCAAUAGCCGUUUGCGAGGUGGUGCAUGGUUGUCGUCAGCUCGUGCCGUGAGGUGUCGGCUUAAGUGCCAUAACGAGCGCAACCCCCGCCACUAGUUACUAACAGGUAAAGAUGAGGACUCUGGUGGGACUGCCAGCGUAAGCUGCGAGGAAGGCGGGGAGGACGUCAAAUCAGCACGGCCCUUACAUCCGGGGCGACACACGUGUUACAAUGGCGUGGACAAAGGGAUGCCACCUGGCGACAGGGAGCGAAUCCCCAAACCACGUCUCAGUUCGGAUCGGAGUGUGCAACCCGACUCCGUGAAGCUGGAUUCGCUAGUAAUCGCGCAUCAGCCACGGCGCGGUGAAUAAGUUCCCGGGCCUUGCACA